UGAAUUUCUGCAUGGAUAGCAGAAACAGCUUCUAUUUCUGUAAGCAAUAGUAUUAGGUGUAAUACCUCUCACUAGGUCAUUGAAAGAUCCUUCUUUAUUUACUGGUCGCCACUUUGUUACCUUUCGCAGUGUACCAUCACCGUCGAGUGAUGAAGCUGGAUUUUUUUAAUGUCAGCUCUCUGUGUCCUUUUUUGAUCAGAAAUUUAUUAAUGCCCUCUAUAUAAAGAAAAA
rnacentral:sRNA from 1 species